UCACGUCUGCCAGCCCAGAAGGGGAUUAACUUUCACCUGCGGUGGCAUGGCCCUGAACCGAUAGUAAGGAGAACUGAACGGGAGAGUGCCUCCCAGGAUCUUCGCAUCCCCAAGAACGGAUCUUCGUUUCCGUAAGCAGGAGCUCUGUGCUGGUGCCAAUCCAGUGCCACCGGACCGGUGAACCAACCACCACCGCACCUCCCUCUUCCUUUCUCCUCCCCCCUUGUUAAUGUACAUCCCACCUUGUUAAUUGAAAUCAAAUAAAACUGAUCGCAGAUUGCUCUUCAGAAUUAGAUGCAAAACCCAACAUUCAUGUUUACAUAAGAAUAGUGCAGAAAUGCGGAUUAAUAAUUCCCCUAUACAUAUCAUGUCAUGCUAAAUAACUGUAUACAUAUGCAGAUAUUGACUUACGAAAUUCACCAACAAAUCAUGAUAUAGUCUUACAUUUAACAAAAUGGUAAAAAAAUAGCAUCAAUCAUAGCCAAUAGCAAUAUAAUAAAUUCUUGUGAAUGAUAGUUUGGCUAUACAUGGAAACCUAAGAUCAGAUUAACUCGUGACGGAAGAAGGCGUUGUAGCAACAUAAUAAUUAAAAUCCAUCGGAAGAAUAUUUCUGAAAUUACACACUAUGCACAAGCAUAUGUAAAAAGGAUCACUAAACAUCAUGAUCUAGUAAAAGUACAUGAGAGAAAAAAACUGAAAAAAUAACAGUCAAUUAUUUUAUAGAACUUCCCUUUGUUCUUCGGAACAAAUGGUAACAAUCAUGAUGCCAUAUUAGAGCUUAUUCAGGACAUCUUUUUUUACUAAAGGGAGUAGUAUGUUUCUGUUUCAGCAAAAGUGUCAAACUACGUCUACACAUUUUACGUACAAUUAUCUCUGUCAUCUGGACCUACACUGCUAUGCACCUCAUUAAAAUCCUAUCCAUCAAAAUUUAUGCCAUUAACAAAAUCUAGGACUUGGGUGUCAAUGGCUAAAAAGCAGUUUCGCUAAGUCCUCAGUGGUGUUGCACCAAGAAUAUGGUGGAGUGCUUGAAUCCGUCAUCAGCGUCAACUAUCAAAGUUAGACACUGGUCACCAGUCAUGCACUGCCUCCCAUUCAGAACAUAGUGAGGAUAAGCAGGCCAGACACGAAGUCUGCGGCAGUGGCCAUGAGGGCGACGAUCGGGUGCCCAUGGUGCAGCGCCGAGCUACAGAACACUCCCACGACCUUGCCGCAUCCAGCGGAGAGGGAGCACCGGUAGCAGCUUGUAGGGAUAGACGUGCUCGUGGCCGGGGAUCACCCGGGAAAGCGUUGGUUGGAGGUGCCUGCCGCUUCAGUUGCUUAUAGGAAGGAAUGUACAUGACAAACUUGCUACCGCUGAAGAAUCAUAUGAAUCAACCUAUGUGUUUUCAAGACGUAUGAAACACACGAAAAGACUGAGCCUUCACGUGAAGUUUGCAGGUUUGCAUCAACAAGAGAGAAAUAAGAGGAAUUAGAUUAAUAAGAGUACUAAACAGGGUGGCGGCCGCCAAGGAGCGAAUUGAUCAUCUCACCUUGACGCAAUAGCUUGGUGCAAGUUGGUGGCACUUCUGUAGGUAGUAUUGACUGCGCCACCAAUGCCAAUCCCGUGAAAGCCAGCCUGAAUGAAAGGCACAAGAGGAAACCAGAGACACUAAAUAAGAACAGUCGUCCAUCUAAUGAAGACCUGACCAAACAAAAUCGAAUCUCUGUGUCAGCUUUCUUANNNNNNNNNNNNNNNNNNNNNNNNNNNNNNNNNNNNNNNNNNNNNNNNNNNNNNNNNNNNNNNNNNNNNNNNNNNNNNNNNNNNNNNNNNNNNNNNNNNNCAUGUCACGCCUGCCGGCCCAGAAGGGGAUUAACUUUCACCUGCUGUGGCAUGGCCCUGAACCGAUAGCAAGGAGAACUGAACGGGAGAGUGCCUCCCUGGAUCUUCGCAUCCCCAAGAACGGAUCGUCGUUUCCGUAAGCAGGAGCUCUGUGCUGGUGCCAAUCCAGUGCCACCGGACCGGUGAACCAACCACCACCGCACCUCCCUCUUCCUUUCUCCUCCCCCCCUUGUUAAUGUACAUCCCACCUUGUUAAUCGAAAUCAAAUAAAACUGAUCGCAGAUUGCUCUUCAGAAUUAGAUGCAAAGCCCAGCAUUCAUGUUUACAUAAGAAUAGUGCAGAAAUGCGGAUUAAUAAUUCCCCUAUACAUAUCAUGUCAUGCUAAAUAACUGUAUACAUAUGCAGAUAUUGACUUACGAAAUUCACCAACAAAUCAUGAUAUAGUCUUACAUUUAACAAAAUGGUAAAAGAUAGCAUCAAUCAUAGCUAAUAGCAAUAUAAUAAAUUCUUGUGAAUGAUAGUUUGGCUAUACAUGGAAACCUAAGAUCAGAUUAACUCGUGACGGAAGAAGGCGUUGUAGCAACAUAAUAAUUAAAAUCCAUCGGAAGAAUAUUUCUGAAAUUACACACUAUGCACAAGCAUAUGGAAAAAGGAUCACUAAACAUCAUGAUCUAGUAAAAGUACAUGAGAGAAAAAACUGAAAAAAUAACAGUCAAUUAUUUUAUAGAACUUCCCUUUGUUCUUCAAAACAAAUGGUAACAAUCAUGAUGCCAUAUUAGAGCUUAUUCAGGACAUCUUUUUUUACUAAAGGGAGUAGUAUGUUUCAGCAAAAGUGUCAAACUAUGUCUACACAUUUUACAUACAAUUAUCUCUGUCAUCUGGACCUACACUGCUCUGCACCUCAUUAAAAUCCUAUCCAUCAAAAUUUAUGCCAUUAACAAAAUCUAGGACUUGGGUGUUAAUGGCUAAAAAGCAGUUUCGCUAAGUCCUCAGUGGUGUUGCACCAAGAAUAUGGUGGAGUGCUUGAAUCCGUCAUCAGCGUCAACUAUCAAAGUUAGACACUGGUCACCAGUCAUGCACUGCCUCCCAUUCACAACAUAGUGAGGAUAAGCAGGCCAGACACGAAGUCUGCGGCAGUGGCCAUGAGGGCGAUGAUCGGGUGCCCAUGGUGCAGCGCCGAGCUACAGAACACUCCCACGACCUUGCCGCAUCCAGCGGAGAGGGAGCACCGGUAGCAGCUUGUAGGGAUAGACGUGCUCGUGGCCAGGGAUCACCCGGGAAAGCGUUGGUUGGAGGUUCCUGCCGCUUCAGUUGCUUAUAGGAAGGAAUGUACAUGACAAACUUGCUACCGCUGAAGAAUCAUAUGAAUCAACCUAUGUGUUUUCAAGACGUAUGAAACACACGAAAAGACUGAGCCUUCACAUGAAGUUUGCAGGUUUGCAUCAACAAGAGAGAAAUAAGAGGAAUUAGAUUAAUAAGAGUACUAAACAGGGUGGCGGCCGCCAAGGAGCGAAUUGAUCAUCUCACCUUGACGCAAUAGCUUGGUGCAGAUUGGUGGCACUUCUGUAGGUAGUAUUGACUGCGCCACCAAUGCCAAUCCCGUGAAAGCCAGCCUGAAUGAAAGGCACAAGAGGAAACCAGAGACACUAAAUAAGAAC
rnacentral:lncRNA from 1 species